GACAGAGGCCUCAAGCGUUAGGCGGAAUCACUGGGCUUAAAGCGUGUGUAGGCGGACGCCUAAGUGUCUUGUGAAAUCCCCCGGCUCACCCGGGGAACUGCUGGGCAUACUGGGCGUCUUGGGCCAACUAGGGGCAACUGGAACAAGCGGUGGAGCGGUGAAAUGCGUUGAUAUCCUAGGGAACACCGGUGGCGAAAGCGGCAUUCUGGAUCUCUUCUGACGCUGAGGCACGAAAGCUAGGGUAGCGAACGGG
rnacentral:rRNA from 1 species